UACGUAGGGGGCUAGCGUUGAUCCGGAUUUAUUGGGCGUAAAGAGCGUGUAGGCGGCCAGGUAGGUCUGCUGUGAAAACUCGAGGCUCAACCUCGAGACGUCGGCGGAAACCAUCUGGCUAGAGUCCGGAAGAGGAGAGUGGGAAUUCCGUGGUGUAGCGGUGAAAUGACGCAGAUAUCAGGAAGAACACCCGUGGCGAAGGCGGCUCUCUGGGACGGUAC
rnacentral:rRNA from 1 species